rnacentral:lncRNA from 1 species
AGCGCACGACCUCCAGGUGACCGCCGGCCGCGGCGUCGUCCAUGGCGGACGGCGUGCAGCCCAGUGUCGUGCGUGAGUGCAAGAACCGCACGACGUCGAUGUGGCCUUUGGAUGCGGCCAGGUCGAUGGCGCGCGUGGUGCCGCCAGAGAUCCCGUUCUCGUGGAGAAACAUGACCAUGUCCAGGUGGCCCGCCCCUGCGGCGUCAUCGAUCAGCGACGUACAGAUGUCGCGCCGCGGCCAUCUGCUGUGGGCAUAGGCGAUAAUGUCGACGUGCCCCGCCCGCGCGGCGUGUUCGACCACUCUUGCGCGCGCGCCCUGUGCAUCGAAAUGUUGAGCCAAGAAGCGCAGCACGUCGGCGUGGCCCGCGUGCGCGGCCGAGUUGAACGCGCGCUUGGUGCAGCGCGCGCCUCUGUGUUUGAUCACAUAGGCGAUGGCCUCCAGGUGCCCGUUGGCGGCGGCAAAAUCGAUAGCGUCGGUCGAGCAGCCCUCGGUGCGGUGCUCGUCGAGGAACCGCAAAACAUCCAUGUGCCCGCCCGCCGCGGCAUAAUCCAUGGCGGCCCUCGUGCACCCCUGGGCGCUGUGCGCGUGGAGCCACUUGACCGUAUCGAGGCGCCCGCCGCGCGCGGCAUAGUUCAUGGUAAAAAAGGUGCAGCGCGCGUCGAUCUGCGUCAGCAUGGCGAGGAAGACGUCCAGGUCGGCGUGCUCGGCGGCAUAGUCCAAGACCCCUUCGGGCACGUGUAUGAACGUGUUGCUGCACACAAAGCCUACGACCUCGGGUCGGCCGCCUCGAACGGCCGCUUCGAUGUCGCCGACACAAAACUUGUGGCUGCGCGUCUUGCAGAGAAAGCGCACGGCGUCCAGACCCGCCGUCUCGCAGAGUUGCGCAGGGGUCGUGCUACGCCAUCGUGGCUCCCGACGAUCGCGGUGCAGUUCGUCGCGCGUAUGCACGCAAAAGCACGGAUGGGCCAGGCGCGCGGCGUAAAAGUCGGUGUCGUCCUCUAGGGCCGCGACGAUAUGAAAGAUCAGUUCGCGCGGCAGGUCGCCGAUCCUAGGGCAGGCUAUGUCUCGCUCGGCGCCCUCGAUGUCAUCAUCCAUUCCCUUUUGGUGCUCUUUUGCUCUGUUUGUGACCUAUUCAGGCUGGGAAAUAAGGUGUGACGGUUGC